GAUGAACGCUGGCGGCGUGCCUAAUACAUGCAAGUCGAGCGAACGGACGAGAAGCUUGCUUCUCUGAUGUUAGCGGCGGACGGGUGAGUAACACGUGGAUAACCUACCUAUAAGACUGGGAUAACUUCGGGAAACCGGAGCUAAUACCGGAUAAUAUUUUGAACCGCAUGGUUCAAAAGUGAAAGACGGUCUUGCUGUCACUUAUAGAUGGAUCCGCGCUGCAUUAGCUAGUUGGUAAGGUAACGGCUUACCAAGGCAACGAUGCAUAGCCGACCUGAGAGGGUGAUCGGCCACACUGGAACUGAGACACGGUCCAGACUCCUACGGGAGGCAGCAGUAGGGAAUCUUCCGCAAUGGGCGAAAGCCUGACGGAGCAACGCCGCGUGAGUGAUGAAGGUCUUCGGAUCGUAAAACUCUGUUAUUAGGGAAGAACAUAUGUGUAAGUAACUGUGCACAUCUUGACGGUACCUAAUCAGAAAGCCACGGCUAACUACGUGCCAGCAGCCGCGGUAAUACGUAGGUGGCAAGCGUUAUCCGGAAUUAUUGGGCGUAAAGCGCGCGUAGGCGGUUUUUUAAGUCUGAUGUGAAAGCCCACGGCUCAACCGUGGAGGGUCAUUGGAAACUGGAAAACUUGAGUGCAGAAGAGGAAAGUGGAAUUCCAUGUGUAGCGGUGAAAUGCGCAGAGAUAUGGAGGAACACCAGUGGCGAAGGCGACUUUCUGGUCUGUAACUGACGCUGAUGUGCGAAAGCGUGGGGAUCAAACAGGAUUAGAUACCCUGGUAGUCCACGCCGUAAACGAUGAGUGCUAAGUGUUAGGGGGUUUCCGCCCCUUAGUGCUGCAGCUAACGCAUUAGGCACUCCGCCUGGGGAGUACGACCGCAAGGUUGAAACUCAAAGGAAUUGACGGGGACCCGCACAAGCGGUGGAGCAUGUGGUUUAAUUCGAAGCAACGCGAAGAACCUUACCAAAUCUUGACAUCCUUUGACAACUCUAGAGAUAGAGCUUUCCCCUUCGGGGGACAAAGUGACAGGUGGUGCAUGGUUGUCGUCAGCUCGUGUCGUGAGAUGUUGGGUUAAGUCCCGCAACGAGCGCAACCCUUAAGCUUAGUUGCCAUCAUUAAGUUGGGCACUCUAAGUUGACUGCUGGUGACAAACCGGAGGAAGGUGGGGAUGACGUCAAAUCAUCAUGCCCCUUAUGAUUUGGGCUACACACGUGCUACAAUGGACAAUACAAAGGGCAGCGAAACCGCGAGGUCAAGCAAAUCCCAUAAAGUUGUUCUCAGUUCGGAUUGUAGUCUGCAACUCGACUACAUGAAGCUGGAAUCGCUAGUAAUCGUAGAUCAGCAUGCUACGGUGAAUACGUUCCCGGGUCU
rnacentral:rRNA from 1 species